AAAGUUCUAGGGCUGAGUAAGCCUGGAGAAACUACAGUUCGAUCUCUUUUCUUGACAGAAAAUAACUUCUCAAGUUCUGCCAAACUGUGGUCCUUGUUUGUGGAGGUAGUAAUAUGAGAAAGGCACAUAGAAUUAGUAGCAGGUGUUCCACUAAGCAAAAAAUUUCCUGAAUGUGAGGUAUUUAAUAACCUGUGGUUGAUUAGCAAGAGAGUCAACAGAUAUCUUGGGAGAAUAUCUUCUGUAAAGGCAUUGCAUAUGUUGGGUGGGAAAGAGCAGAGCAAAUAAAUCGUGUUGUCAGACCAAAGCAGCGUUUGCUUCACAAAACCUUGCAGCAACAUGUUAGCUAGUAGCAAGAGAGGGGAGGGUCUGGGAAAGAGGAUAAUUACUAAGACACCUAACCAAUGUGACUGCCAAUUCUUGCUGAAGCUAUGAAAAAUGAUAUUAUUCAAAAUCAGGGCUGCAUCUAGCUAUAUAUGUCUAUCCAGAAGACACCUAACUGUAUUUUCUGCUUCUGUUGCAAAGGGUGGCAAAUGAUGCUAGGUUUGUGAAUACUUCCAGUAAGAGCUGUUGCUGGCAAGUAUGUUCAAUAGACACUAUUUGUCAUUGUUACCCUCCUUGCAUCCCCUGCCUGAUACUUCAUCAUUUCACACUGAUACAGCUGACCACUCCCAGUUCCUUCUCCACCACCAGGUGCGGUUCACAAAGCUACAGUUGGCCACCUCAACCUUCCCUUGGUGCUUCUGUCCAUCCGUCCUUGGAAGGAUCCUAAAAUAUCUUCUCCCGACCUUGGCACAUGGAAAGGAAAGGAGACUCCUAGAAAAGUGUCUAACCUAUGCACCCUUCUCUUCCUGCUCCAGCAGUCGCUACCACCUGAAAUGCCUUCUAGCCCAGGAUUGGUGAAUCAUUGUGUCAUGCUGUCAUUUGUGGAAAUGCAACAGAUGGAGGAACAGCCAAUCUGUCACACAACCAUCCUACAGCUGAAACCACUGUCAUGGGGCACCUUGAGAGAGGGAGCCGUGAUGGAAGGCAGCCCUUUGGAGAAAGAUCUGCAAGGAUCCUGGACCACAAUAUCUGUGAUGGAUCCUGGAAGUCCCCUGACUCUGGGCAAGUGCCUGCACCGUGUAGGAGCCCCUGGAGGUACCGCAACACUGCUCUGGUGGCUCACUCUUGGAACCAGGAACAGCUGGCCAGAGCUACACGGAGGAAUCCUUCACUCUAUCCACGGGCCCAGUGUGAGGGCAGCGUCUCCUACUAUGAUGUCUUCACACCCGUGGGAUACAACCAUCUACAGACCUGCCAAGUCUGUUUCUGCAGAAGAUUUGGAAGCAGAAACACCAUUGACUCUAGCAAAAAACCUGACAAAUUUUUCGUAUGGAUUUUCUCUCUGCGCAAGAGAGACGCGUCAGAGUUGUUUUGACUGGAGCCGGCUAUGA
rnacentral:lncRNA from 1 species